rnacentral:snoRNA from 1 species
UUUGGGAUAUGAUGCUAAUAUACAAACAGAUUAUCUAAGGCUUUGGCUAUGCUGAUUAUAUGUAUUUGCACGUCAGUCUGAUCCCAAA